rnacentral:rRNA from 1 species
GACGAACGCUGGCGGCGUGCUUAACACAUGCAAGUCGAACGGAAAGGCCCUGCUUUUGUGGGGUGCUCGAGUGGCGAACGGGUGAGUAACACGUGAGUAACCUGCCCUUGACUUUGGGAUAACUUCAGGAAACUGGGGCUAAUACCGGAUAGGAGCUCCUGCUGCAUGGUGGGGGUUGGAAAGUUUCGGCGGUUGGGGAUGGACUCGCGGCUUAUCAGCUUGUUGGUGGGGUAGUGGCUUACCAAGGCUUUGACGGGUAGCCGGCCUGAGAGGGUGACCGGCCACAUUGGGACUGAGAUACGGCCCAGACUCCUACGGGAGGCAGCAGUGGGGAAUAUUGCAUAAUGGGCGGAAGCCUGAUGCAGCAACGCCGCGUGCGGGAUGACGGCCUUCGGGUUGUAAACCGCUUUCGCCUGUGACGAAGCGUGAGUGACGGCAAUGGGUAAAGAAGCACCGGCUAACUACGUG